UCCAGGUGCUGGCUUGUUUAUAGCCUGCAGCUGGCCGGCCUGGGGGAGGGGCCGGAAGCCAGCAGCCAGCCACCCCAGGAAGGCCCCAGCGGGGAUGUAGAAUAGCCUGCACUUCUGAAGUCCUCUCCCUGGUGUGCGGACCCCCGGCUGACAGGAAGUCUGCAGGCAGGUGGAAGAGGGGCCCCGGGGCUGGGGGGAGGGGUGUGUAGGUGCAGUGCAGGAGCCGGUUCCGAAAGUUACACGAAGCGGUGCCUGAGAACUUGGGACAAAGUUUGGCAAGGAGCAACCAGAGGGCUGGAGAAGCAGGGGCUCCUGGCUGGGGCUAGGCCCUUUAUGUAGGAAGCAUCCCCAACAGCACUCAAAAGUUGGUCCUGCCAUACCCACCUGCUAGAUGCAGAAACUGAGCUCAGAGAGUUAGGUGCCUUCGCCAAGGUGGCCAGCAUGCGGGAAUGGGAGGCAAGCCUCAAACUCUUGCUCCCUGGGUGGUGCUGAAUGGCAGCAGGAGGGUGUUCGGGGUCUGAAAGGGGAGAUUAGCACUUGUGACAAACCUUGGCUGCCCCAAGGGCUGUUUUUGUACUGAGCCCAAGGCGCUCUACCACUGAGCUACAACCCCAGGCCUGUCAAUUUUAUUUUGUUUUUAAUUUUUUUUUUUUGAGGCAGGCUCUUACUCUGCAGUUCCGGCUGACCUUAAACUCACUAUGUAGGCCAGGUUGGCCCGAGGCCCUGACUUGGCCACCCAGGUGAUCCUCCUGGCUCAGCUUCCCAAGUGUUAGGGGUACAGGUAUGUGGCACCACAUCCUGCUCUCAAUUUGAUUUUUCAGACAGGGUCUCUGAGUUCUGCAGGCUGACCUAAAAUUUGUGAUCCUCCUGCCUCAAACUCUCCAGUAGCUCAGAUUACAGGUAUGGCCACCACACCCUGCUAAAUUAUUUUUUCCAACUGAAAUUUGGAUCGAGGUCAUUGGGCAUUCACGUGCAGUCGUAAGGAGCAGGACAGAGAGAUCACAGGGACCCUUUCCUAUACAACGUCACAGCCAGGGCAUCAACACUGGCACGGUCCACCUGUCGGGUGCGGAUCUUUCAUCUCACACUCCUGCGUGGCCUGGACAGUUUACCCUGUUGAUGGUGGGGGGGGAGGGUUUGGAAAGGUGUGAGGCAGUUGGCAACGAGCCCAGCAGCCAGGACCAAUCAUCAUCCGGUCCAGGGGAAAACAGCAGCAAGCGGUUCUAUGACAGCCUCGCACCUCCCACUGGCCUGCCACGGAGAAGGAUUAGGGUGGAUGCGAACAGUGUUAUUACUGCCACCUUCCUAUGCCCUGGAGGUGGGGUGAACUCAGGGUGCAGCGGCUUGAGACAUGAUUCACAGCCUGACUCAUUCAGCCAAGGGCCACCUGAGGGGACGGCUUUUCCCUGGGAGGCGGGCUCAGCCCUCCCAGGUGCUGUGUCCCCUUUAAGAAGGGGACAAAAGGCUCUCUUCACACAUCAAAGAAAAUUUGGGCCACAGUUAGGCUUCUCUGCUUUCAGGAUAUGAUACAAUUUUUUUUUUCUUUUUUUUCUGGUACUGGGGAUCGAACUCAGGACCUUGCACUUGCAAGGCAGGCAAGGUGCCACUGAGCUAAAUCCCCAGCCCUUCUUUUGGUUUUUUGAGCCAGGGUCUCACUGGGUAGCCCAGGCUGGCCUUGAACUUGGAGCAUUUCUCCUACCUCAGCCUCCUGAAUGCUGGGCAUGUGCCAUGGUGUCUGGGAGAACAUAAUACAAUUCUUAUCAAGUCUAAUACAGUACUUUCUUUUAAAUACAUUAUUUCUAAUAGUUUUCAAUUUACAGAAAAGAUGGCACAGAGAGGUACCGCAAACCUACUUUCCCCCAUUAUUAACAUCUUACGUUACUGGAGAUAUUUGCCAUACUGAAUGAAUACUGAUAUAUUAUUAUUAAACUAUGGCCCAGAAAAAAAAAAA